AUUGAACGCUGGCGGCAUGCUUUACACAUGCAAGUCGAACGGUAACAGGCCGCGAGGUGCUGACGAGUGGCGAACGGGUGAGUAAUGCAUCGGAACGUGCCCAGUCGUGGGGGAUAACUAUCCGAAAGGAUAGCUAAUACCGCAUACGAUCUGCGGAUGAAAGCGGGGGACCUUCGGGCCUCGCGCGAUUGGAGCGGCCGAUGUUAGAUUAGGUAGUUGGUGGGGUAAAGGCUCACCAAGCCAACGAUCUGUAGCUGGCAUGAGAGGACGACCAGCCACACUGGGACUGAGACACGGCCAAGACCCCAACGGGAGGCAGCAGUGGGGAAUUUUGGACAAUGGGCGCAAGCCUGAUCCAGCAAUGCCGCGUGCAGGAAGAAGGCCUUCGGGUUGUAAACUGCUUUUGUACGGAACGAAACGGCUCUGGUUAAUACCUGGGGCUAAUGACGGUACCGUAAGAAUAAGCACCGGCUAACUACGUGCCAGCAGCCGCCGUAA
rnacentral:rRNA from 1 species